UUAGAAAUAUUUGUAAGGUUUAUAAUAUAGAAUGGAAAAGGGGAAGCGUUGUUGAUGAUAGAGAUGGUAAAAUUGCUUGAUUACAAUGAUAGGACUAGCUAAUUGGAGCGCACACCAAGAUGAUUUAUACAUUAAUGCAGCUCAUCACUUUUUGAAGAGUAACCGAUCUUCCUGAAGGAGAAGCUAUUUUGCUGAUAGGUGGAGGUUCAAGUGAGGAAGUUGUAUUGUGUUAGCAGGGCCCUUCCAACUCUACCAAUUAAUCUCGAGGAUGCUGCUCGAAGUGAAGCUGAAAUUGAGAAGACACUUCAGGCUGGUGAACAACUUGUUCGCGUAAAUCAGGAUACACGUUUGAACUUUAGAGUACUUGACCUCAGAACCCCAGCUAAUCAAGGAAUUUUUCGCAUUCAACCACAAGAGGGAAAUGCUUUGUUGAAAUCCACACUCCAAAGUUGAUUGCUGGGUCAAGUGAGGGUGGAGCUGCUGUUUUCAGACUGGGCUAUAAAGGGCACCCUGCUUGCCUUAUCCAAUCACGACGCUUCACAGGCAAAUGGCAAUAUGUCUGAUUUUGGCCGUGUUUCUGAGAUUAGUCCUGCGUUUAGGGCUGAGGAUUCCUUCACACACACAGACAUCUGUGUGAGUUUACUGGUCUUGAUGUUGAAAUGGAGAUUAAGAAGCAUUAUUGUGAGGUUAUGGAUAUAUUUGAUUGGUUGAACCAGAAUUGUAAGAAGGAUCUUGAAGCUGUGCAGUGGCACACCAGUACGAACCUUCAAAGUAUCUUCGUCAGACUCUGCGACUUACAUAUGAAGAAGGGGUUCAGAUGCUCAAGAUGGUUCUCGGUUUCCUUUGCAACUGUUGAUUGACCUCAACACUCAGAAUUUUGUUUAUCUUCAUUAAUAAGAAUAUUAGAAAAUGGUAUGUCUUGCAUGUUCUUAUAAUUUUGCUUCAUAAGAUGCUGGAGUAGAUAUUGAACCUUUCGGUGACUUUAAUACCGAAGCUGAAAGGAAGUUGAGGCAGCUAGUUAUAGAGAAGUAACUCUCUCUCUCAGAGAUUGAACCUUUUGGUGACUUGAAUACUGAAGCUGAAAGGAAGUUGGGGCAGCUAGUUUUACUCUAUCCCUCUCUCUUCAUACACACACAACAAAGAAGUGUAAUAAGAGUGAAGUGACAAUUAGAUCCUCGAAGAUGUUGACCUUGGACUAAUUAGUCCUUGAAGAAAAAAAAAGUAUCAAUUAGGUCCUCCAAGAUAGCAAACGGUGGACAUGUAUCUCCUUCUGUCGAUGAAUAGUGUAAAACAAAACCGAAUUGUCCAUAUAUUUCGUUAUUUACAGUGGUGCAUGUCUCGAUAUUGUCACGUGAGCAGGAAAACGAUAUAGUUUUAAACAGUAAAGCAUUUAUUAUCUUGAGUUUUCAUAUACCCUUUAGCAGCUACUCUAUUUAUAACAAAUCCUAUCAAAACAAGUGAAGUUUCGUUCUAACAAUUGUUAUCUACAUGACUAUCUUUCAUAGAUAGACAUGUCAGAGUAAUUAACAGUACAUAUAAGCAUCACUGUUAAGUUUUAGUUGAUGAAUUGAUAGAAAUACAUCAUGUAUCCACUGUUUGCUAUCCUGGAAGACCAAAUUGGUAUUUUUUUUUUCUUUAAGGACUAAUUAGUCCGAAGUCAAAAUCUUCAAGCACCUAAUUGUCACUCUACUCAAUAUUUUAUUUUCUUUUUAAUGACCUAUUAUUUUGGAUUAACUUGUUCUAAUUUUUGUUUAUAGGUAUGGGACGGAGUUCUAUAGUACCCCUUUGUUGUCAGACCAUUGUACACAAUGCCUUGCUAUAGUAAUCCACAGUACUCAAACUCAUUUGAUGUCUUUAUUUGAGAUAUGGUGCACCAACACACCCGUGGCUUUUGGAGUUGGAUUGGAGCCCGUAGUAAUGAUCUUCUGUGGCCUGAAUAACGUCCGAAGACAUCAUUUUAUCCCUCUUAGGAUUGCACCAUGAUAGUUAUACCCAAAUAAUGACUUGGAAAUCGCAUUGUUACAAAUUUAAAGGAUACCUAGUUGAAUUGUUUUUCUUAUCGCAAGAAUCUCAUAUCCUUUGAACUUGCAGUGUCAAAGCUGGUGUAGAGCACUCUACAAAGCAUACUAAUUUUGGACGACUUAAUGUAGCUGUCACUUUGUUUCUUGAAUACACCCUCAGAAUGUUCAAGUUUUUCCCUAAUCGGUAACCAGCAAUUUAGUGACCUAUUUAUUUAAUGAAAAAUGGAUCUGGAUGCACUCUCACUCAGGAUGUUCAAUUAUUCCAUUAAAAUUUAUUUGUCUGUUUUGGUAAAAACAAUGCGAUGAGUAUAGAAUGAUAGAAUGGAGUUUGAUUGCAUUAGGUAGGUAGUGUUUCGCACUGGGUAUUUUAUUCACUAGUGGUCAUAGGAUUAGGAUGGUGCAUUUUGAGUUUCCUUUAACCGAAGUUUGAGGCAAGACGUAAUAUGAAUGUCUCCCCGUUUGGUACCAAAUUUUGUUUCAUGUUUAUUUGAUGAGUGAUGAAUUUCUACAUAAUGGUGGAAACAUGACCAAGAAAAUAAAAGGUAAAAAAUAAAGAACCCUGUUUGGCAUCACCCAUGCAAGAUGCACCUCUAAUACACUGAUACCACCACGGCAAUCAACUCUCAAAGUCGCAGACCAAUACGCACACAUCUUGUUGGA